UUCCGGUUGAUCCUGCCAGAGAUCACUGCUAUCAGUGUCCGAUUAAGCCAUGCAAGUUAUAUGUUCUUCGUGAACAUGGCGAACUGCUCAGUAACACGUGGAUAACCUGCCCUUGGGACCGGGAUAACCCCGGGAAACUGGGGAUAAUACCGGAUGAGCCACAGCUGCUGGAAAGUACUGUGGUUAAAAUGGGUCACCGCCCAAGGAUGGAUCUGCGGCCUAUCAGGUAGUAGUGGGUGCAAUGUACCUACUAGCCGAUGACGGGUACGGGUUGUGAGAGCAAGAGCCCGGAGAUGGAUUCUGAGACAUGAAUCCAGGCCCUACGGGGCGCAGCAGGCGCGAAAACUUUACAAUGCGGGAAACCGCGAUAAGGGGACACUGAGUGCCAGCAUAUAAUGUUGGCUGUCCGCAUGUGUAAAAUACAUGCGUUAGCAAGGGCCGGGCAAGACCGGUGCCAGCCGCCGCGGUAACACCGGCGGCCCGAGUGGUGAUCGCUAUUAUUGGGUCUAAAGGGUCCGUAGCCGGUUUGAUCAGUCCAUUGGGAAAUCUGGUGGCUUAACCGCCAGAAUUCCAAUGGAUACUGUCAGACUUGGGACCGGGAGAGGUGAGAGGUACUACAGGGGUAGGAGUGAAAUCUUGUAAUCCCUGUAGGACCACCAGUUGCGAAGGCGUCUCACCAGAACGGGUCCGACGGUGAGGGACGAAAGCUGGGGGCACGAACCGGAUUAGAUACCCGGGUAGUCCCAGCCGUAAACGAUGCUCGCUAGGUGUUAGGGAUGGUACGUCCGUUCCUAGUGCCGAAGGGAAGCCGUGAAGCGAGCCACCUGGGAAGUACGGCCGCAAGGCUGAAACUUAAAGGAAUUGGCGGGGGAGCACUACAACGGGUGGAGCCUGCGGUUUAAUUGGACUCAACGCCGGG
rnacentral:rRNA from 1 species